AUCCAAGUUAUCUUGAGUAGAUUUCUUCACCCCGAGCAUGAGUCGCAAGUCCCUUUCCCUGGGGAAGUAGCCCUGCAUAAUGCAGAGAUUUGAGGCCCAGAACUUUUUCCUUCUCUUCCCUGCAUCCUGGCAUCUUUAAAAGUAGAUGAAUCUAUUCUCUGCAGAAAGUUAGGGGUGUGCCUCUGACUGUGCCAGGCAAGAGCAUUCUUGGAGAGCACAGAAUGGCAUUCAGGAGGAGUCACCAAUCCGACCUUCUCCUACAUCACUCCACGUCCCAUCCAUCCUGCAGAAGGACGGCAGGCUUCUCCUGCCUGCCCAACAUCAGUGCCUGUUUCGUCACGUCUGAGCCAAAAUGCUUCAAUAAGUCAUUGCCAUCUGUUACACAGGCUGACCAGAGACUAGCCCCUGGCAUUCCCGGGCGAGUCAGAAAAGUCCCGCACUGCUGCUUAGCCUUCCGAUCGCUCUCCUCUACCUUCCCACAGCUUCCUCGGGAGAGGAUGCAAGGAAUCCCGUUGGUGGCAAGUUAUCGGUGGCCAGCUCCAGACCCAGGGCUCUUGGCUGGCCAUGGAAGGCCAGAGGAUGCCAGGAGCCCCAGAGAGGAAGGGCAGACUCCUGGGGACCCCCUAAAGAUGCAAGAUCACCGAACCAGGAGCAAAGGUAGCAUGGGCUCCUUCUGCCUCGCCCGCGCAGAGCCAUGGCUAUGGGAAGGGAGCAAGGAAUGAAUGAAGACUUUCAGGAGCUUAAAUAAGCUUUCGGCUGGACUCGUGAUGUCUCCUUGGCAUGCUAAAGUGUCAAAAAGUCAUACAACUUUCCCAGGGUCCAGUGGGCCAGCCUGAUCUCCGACCUACUCAGAGUUUUGCAAU
rnacentral:lncRNA from 12 species